rnacentral:rRNA from 1 species
UUAUUUGAAACGGGACACAACCCCUAAUACUGGGUUUAUCUAGAUACACUAAAUAAAGUGGGCCUAAAAGCAGCCACCUUCCAAAGAGCGUUAAAGCUUAAUGUACCAACAUCUAUAAUUCCACAAUUUUUACUUAACCCUUCAUUACUACUGAACUAUUUUAUACUCUAUAAAAGCUAUUAUGCUAGAACUAGUAACAAGAAAUUGCCUUUCUCCUCAAUGUAUGUUUGAACCAAAAUGGACACUCCACUGGUAACUAACGCAAAUGUAAAUAUCAUAGUACCACACGACUAGAAAAUCCUAUGUUUACCCAACGUCAACCUUACACUAGAACAUUACAGGAAAGAUUAAAAGAGAAAGAAGGAACUCGGCAAAUCACAGUCCCGCCUGUUUACCAAAAACAUCGCCUCUUGCCUAAACAUAAGAGGUCCAGCCUGCCCAGUGACAUAGUUUAACGGCCGCGGUACCCUAACCGUGCGAAGGUAGCAUAAUCACUUGUUCUUUAAAUAGGGACUUGUAUCAACGGCAUCACGAGGGCUGUACUGUCUCCUUUCUCCAAUCAGUGAAACUGAUUUCCCCGUGAAGAAGCGGGGAUAAACCUAUAAGACGAGAAGACCCCAUGGAGCUUUAAACCCAUCACACACCUCUACGCACUUUAAACGAUAUAGCCCAAGGGGCUUGUGUGUUGGUUUUAGGUUGGGGGGACCGCGGAGUAAAAUUAAACCUCCACGACAGACGGACUAACACCCUUAUCCAUGAACUACAAUUCUAAGAGCCAAUAAAUUGUUGUCUAAUGACCCAAUUAUUUGAUCAACGAACCAAGUUACCCUGGGGAUAACAGCGCAAUCUACUUCAAGAGCCCAUAUCGACAAGUGGGUUUACGACCUCGAUGUUGGAUCAGGGUAUCCUAGUGGUGCAGCCGCUACUAAAGGUUCGUUUGUUCAACGAUUAAAACCCU